UAGGGAAUCUUCGGCAAUGGGGGCAACCCUGACCGAGCAACGCCGCGCGAGUGAAGAAGGUUUUCGGAUCGUAAAGCUCUGUUGUAAGAGAAGAACGUGUGUGAGAGUGGAAAGUUCACACAGUGACGGUAACUUACCAGAAAGGGACGGCUAACUACGUGCCAC
rnacentral:rRNA from 1 species